CCAAUGGCUCUUUUUAGAGCCCCAAAUUUUAAAGAAAGAACUGAA
rfam:Strongylocentrotus purpuratus Contig12812_fixed, whole genome shotgun sequence.